ensembl:lncRNA
UUUACCCGUUGACCUGCAUGAGAAGUGAUUGUGUUGUGUGUGUGUAGCUGGUCCGUAGGAGCACAGGAAUGAAGUGGUAGGGAUGUGAACGUCCCCCCCCCCCCUCAAGACAAUUGGAUACGUAUCUAGAUACAUGGGCUGGAUACGAUAUACAGGAACUAAACUUUUAGUUCGGUUAGAGAACGAGUCGAUGGGAUGUCGGGUCGAUGUAACAACACAUCCAUCUUCCAUUCUAAAUUCAUAGUUGCCAAUAAAUAUCAUCUAUGGUGUAGUAGGAACUGGGUGGGUUCGAGCUCAAUGCUGAUUGGCUGACCGGCAUGGUUAUCAGGUAAAAUACAAAAACAUUUUUUUAGGGCCCUACAUUACAUUGAUAACCCGUUUGAUAUAGCAAUGAGGCACCUCUGGGGAUUGUGAUAUAUAGCCAUAUACCACGGCGAAGGACUGUAUCCAGGCACUCCGCGUUGCGUCGUGCCUAAGAACAGCCGCUUAGCCGUGUUUAUUGGCCGUUACCACACCUCCUCAGGCCUCGGUGCAUAUGAAGUAGGCCCCAGAGACCAGCCACUAUGGAUGGUACAGAAGUAUACUUUGAUCCCACCGAUCUGAUAGCAACACAAUUGAGGUUUACGUAUCAAUGAACCCAGUCUGUGUGUGUGUGUGUUCUGGUUACUACUCGAGCACGGUGAUAGCAGCGUUGGUAGCUAGUUUGAUGCCCCAGUCUGUGUGUGUGUCUGUCUGUACCUGGUCUCUCGGAGCAAGGUGAGCAGCGUUGGUACUAGUUUGAUGCCCCAGUCUCUCUGUGUGUAUGUGGUGUGUGUGUGUGUGUGUGUGUGUGGUGUGUCGGUCUACUCGGAGCACGGUGAUAGCAGCGUUGGUAGCUAGUUUGAUGCCUCGUCUGUGUGUGUGUGUGUGUCUGUACCUGGUCUACUCGGAGCACGGUGAUAGCAGCGUUGGUAGCUUAGUUUGAUGCCCCAGUCUCUCUGUGUGUGUGUGGUUGUGUGUGUCUGGUCUACUCGGAGCACGGUGAUUGAUCGAAUCGUUGGUAGCUCGUUGAUGCCUAGUCUGUGGCUGGUGUGUGUGUGUUGUCUGGUCUACUCGGAGCACGGGGAUAGCAGCGUGGGUAUUAGUUUGAUGCUCAGUCUGGUGUGUGUAUGUACCUGGUCUAUCGGAGCACGGGUGUUGAAUACGCAGCGUUUGGUAGCUAGUUUGAUGCCCCAGUUGCUGUUGGUGUGUGUGUGGUGUGUCUGACUGGUCUACUCGGAGCACGCGAUGAUAGCAGCGUUGGUAGCAGUUUGAUUUGCCCCAGUCUGUGUGUGUGUGUGUUCUGUGUGUGUGUGUGUGUUGUGUGUGUGUGUGUGCUGUACCUGUCUAUCGGAGCACGGGUUGAUAGCAGCGUUUGGUAGCUAGUUUGAUGCCCCAGUGUUGACCGGAAAGGCCAGGAUCCCAGCCUCAAGCAUUGUACUUCAGGAGCAGUCCCCGUCUCCCUGUGUUACAUUACACCACAUCCUGUCAGGCUUUGUAAAGAACCCAUUUUAAACAGGCACGCCUAUACACUUCCAUGGAAAGUCAACAGACCUGAAUGUCUUAAGGUGCACUGGAUUUAAUGAGCCUGGC